UACGCAGGGUGCUAGCGUUGUUCGGAAUUACUGGGCGUAAAGGGCGCGUAGGCGGUCUUGUGAGUCAGAUGUGAAAGCCCCGGGCUCAACCCGGGAAUAGCAUUUGAUACUGCGAGGCUUGAGUCCGGGAGAGGAUGGCGGAAUUCCCAGUGUAGAGGUGAAAUUCGUAGAUAUUGGGAAGAACACCGGUGGCGAAGGCGGCCAUCUGGACCGGUACUGACGCUGAGGCGCGAAAGCGUGGGGAGCAAACAGG
rnacentral:rRNA from 1 species